CUUUGAAUUAUAUUUGAAAUGAAAGAAACUUAGAUAAAACUCAAAAUAAACAAAAUUACGCACAUCAUUUUUUUUGGUUAACAAGAUCAUGGAUGAACUUCCUAAGAAAAAGAUCAUGCAUGAACUUAACAAGAAAGAUUUAUACUUAUCUCUACAAUUAUAACUUCUCACCCUACAAAUUAUAAAAAGUUUUAAUUUUAUCUUCUUUUUUUAUUUAAUAUCACCCGCACUAAAUAUUUUUGGAACUUCAAAGUUUUUUGAAGUGAAAUAAAAUUUUUCACUGGAAUGCUUGGCGGAAAAUUCUAGAAUUUUAAUCUUUUUUUUCGAUAAGGCC
rnacentral:lncRNA from 1 species